UUAUUUUGCAGCCAUCACUGCAUUAGGAACUGUUGGGGAUUCCUGCUCCCAUCAUUGUUUCAACAGCACUAAAAGGCACAAACAAGGAGUGAUUGAGGAGAAAGUCAGAGAUUCCACAGCUCAGCAGGGAGAGUCCAGCCAGACACCAGCUCUGUGCAUUCUUCCUUGCAGGAAGGAGCAAUGCCAGUUAUUCCCAGUGCCAGAACAACUGUGCUUGGGAAAGGAGAGAGAUCCUGAAGUAUCUCUGGUGGCUGAAUGCCUGCAGGCUCUGGAAGCAAACCCUGGAGUAAGGAAAUUCUUGCUGCAGUCAUCUGCCCAAACUGUGCCAGAAGGAGCCAGUGCUCAAGGACAGCUGCUGGAGUGCAGCUGGCAUCCCAGGAUGGGAGCUCCUGAUACUGGAGAUACAGUGGGCUGUGACAAAAUGGAACAGCUGUCUGUGGACUUCACUGUGUCAGACACCACCAUUUUACAGUGAUCCCUGUCCAAUGGAGAACCUUUGGGAGGAGUUUCUCUGCUACAGGCCAAUGUUUGUCACCUUUCAUUUGCAAAUAUCAAGGUAAGGAACAAAGCAAAUGCAUGAAUAUUUGUGUUCAAGCCUGUUUUCUCCUUUGAUAAUUUGAUUAUGAUUAUGUGUUUGCUGUACAGCUCUGGGAUUCCCUGCUGGACUCUGCCCCAAGCACUGGCCAGGGGCCCACUGGCUCCAAACCAGUUCUCUGCAUAGAAGGGUUUGCUCCUGGCUCCUUCACACGGAGAACUCAGUUUAGAUUGCCUGAAUCCACCAAUAAAACUUGGAUUCACCGGACA
rnacentral:lncRNA from 1 species